GGAGGAUUACCCAAGUGGUUGAAGGGGUCGGUCUUGAAAACCGAUAGUGGGUCAACGGCCCAGCUAGAGUUCGAAUCUCUAAUCCUCCGCCA
rnacentral:tRNA from 1 species